rnacentral:lncRNA from 1 species
UGGGAACUGACACAAGGCCAUCUUGAGACUAGGCCACAUUCAGCCUAGUCUCUUGAUAAGAGGUGAAGGUGGAUGUUGGUUGAGUAUACCACCUAGAAGUGACCCCUUAGGGUAUACAUCAUUCUACAUAUAUAAAAACAGAAGCCAAGAAGGAGGAUGU